rnacentral:tRNA from 3 species
GGCGGCAUAGCUCAGUUGGCUAGAGCACGCGGUUCAUACCCGCGGUGUCACUGGUUCAAAUCCAGUUGCCGCUACCA